CCCCAUAGGCAGCCAAAGAUGACCUUAAACCUCUGCUUCUCCUGCUUCUACCUGAUUAAGAGCUGUGAUUAGAGGCUUGCACCACUGUGCUUGUUAGGGUUUUUUGUUUGUUUUGUUUUGUUUUUGUCAACUUGACACAAGUUAAGAGUCAUCUGUGAGAGAACACCUCACUUGCGAAUAUGCCUCCAUCAGAUUGGCCUCUAGACUUUUCAUCAGCAGCAUCCAUCCUUUCUGAAAACCGAAUACAGUGUCGCCAAGGCCAGCGUUUAUUCAGGGCUCACUACACACCAGGCAUGAAUUGGUGGUGAAAGGAAGUGCAGCUGGCCGCCACCAGGGCCUCUGGAGACAGCUGAAAUGGAUAAAGCCCAUCUGCAAGAUGGCUGUCCGGAAAAAAGCUGGGGCAGAGGGGUCAGCUGAGGAGUGUGGGAGGCAGCUGUGACAAAAACUGGGCACCUGUUCUAGAACUGGCUUCGUCUGCUUCCAUUUGUAUCAUUCGUCACUGCGCAGCACCUGGAAAGUGGACCGCAGGGCAUCACGGCACCUGCCUUUCCUGCAGUGCUUCCAACUCAGAUGGGAGUUGCUUCCUCAGGGGCUGCAGAUCCGGGACAACACCGAGGGAUCUGCUCAGAGUGCUGCUCUAGCGACUUGGGGCUCUGCAUAUUUCUGGUUUCUGCUAUAUCCUGCACGUGCCAUUGCCCCCCCCCCAUAUCCCGCAUGUGUCACUGCCCGCUAUAUCAUGU